GAUGAACGCUGGCGGCGUGCCUAAUAUAUGCGAGUCGAGCGAACGGACGAGAAGCUUGCUUCUCUGAUGUUAGCGGCGGACGGGUGAGUAACACGUGGAUAACCUACCUAUAAGACUGGGAUAACUUCGGGAAACCGGAGCUAAUACCGGAUAAUAUUUUGAACCGCAUGGUUCAAAAGUGAAAGACGGUCUUGCUGUCACUUAUAGAUGGAUCCGCGCUGCAUUAGCUAGUUGGUAAGGUAACGGCUUACCAAGGCAACGAUGCAUAGCCGACCUGAGAGGGUGAUCGGCCACACUGGAACUGAGACACGGUCCAGACUCCUACGGGAGGCAGCAGUAGGGAAUCUUCCGCAAUGGGCGAAAGCCUGACGGAGCAACGCCGCGUGAGUGAUGAAGGUCUUCGGAUCGUAAAACUCUGUUAUUAGGGAAGAACAUAUGUGUAAGUAACUGUGCACAUCUUGACGGUACCUAAUCAGAAAGCCACGGCUAACUACGUG
rnacentral:rRNA from 1 species